UACGUAGGGUGCAAGCGUUGUCCGGAUUUAUUGGGCGUAAAGAGCUCGUAGGCGGUUUGUCGCGUCUGCUGUGAAAACUCGGGGCUUAACCCCGGGCCUGCAGUGGGUACGGGCAGACUAGAGUGCGGUAGGGGAGACUGGAAUUCCUGGUGUAGCGGUGAAAUGCGCAGAUAUCAGGAGGAACACCGGUGGCGAAGGCGGAUCUCUGGGCCAUUACUGACGCUGAGGAGCGAAAGCGUGGGGAGCGAACAGG
rnacentral:rRNA from 1 species